GGACACUCCCCCUAUUCUAGGUCACUCUAGCCACCACCACCAACUACCACCACCACGGUUGUCAAGCCAUGAUGGACGUGCUGUUGUACUGCUGAUGACGAAAAAGAAUGUGAUGUACUUUUGGGACCCGGGCGUAGGGAACUUCCACUACGGUCCGGGUCACCCGAUGAAGCCACAACGACUGUCGGUCACGCACAGCCUGGUCAUGCACUACGGC
rnacentral:lncRNA from 1 species